ACUACGGUGUGCUGCAGUGGGGAAUAUUGCACAAUGGGGGAAACCCUGAUGCAGCAACGCCGCGUGAGUGAAGAAGGUAUUCGGAUUGUAAAGCUCUGUUAGCAGGGCAGAGGAAGGACGGUAACUGCAGAGAAAGCAACGGCUAACUACGUGCCAGCAGCCGAGGUAAUACGUAUGAGGCAAGCGUUGAUCGGAAUGACUGGUCGUAAAGGGAGCGUAGACGGCGGAGCAAGCCUGAAGUGAAAGGGGGGGGCCCAGCCCUCGGACUGCUUUGGGAACUGUACGGCUGGAGUGCAGGGGGGGUAAGUGGAAGUCCUAGUGUAGCGGUGAAAUGCGUAGAUAUUAGGAGGAACACCAGUGGCGAAGGCGGCUUACUGGACUGUAACUGACGUUGAGGCUCGAAAGCGUGGGGAGCAAACAGGAUUAGAUACCCCUGUAGUC
rnacentral:rRNA from 1 species